ACUCCUACGGGAGGCAGCAGUCGGGAAUAUUGGACAAUGGGCGAAAGCCUGAUCCAGCAAUACCGCGUGUGUGAAGAAGGCCUGCGGGUUGUAAAGCACUUUCAGUUGGGAAGAUAAUGACGUUACCAACAGAAGAAGCACCGGCUAACUCCGUGCCAGCAGCCGCGGUAAUACGGAGGGUGCAAGCGUUAAUCGGAAUUACUGGGCGUAAAGCGCACGUAGGCGGUUUACUAAGUCGGAUGUGAAAUCCCCGGGCUCAACCUGGGAACUGCACCCGAUACUGGUAGACUAGAAUUUGGGAGAGGUGAGUGGAAUUUCCGGUGUAGCGGUGAAAUGCAUAGAGAUCGGAAGGAACACCAGUGGCGAAGGCGACUCACUGGACCAAAAUUGACGCUGAGGUGCGAAAGCGUGGGUAGCAAACAGGAUUAGAUACCCUGGUAGCUCGAUGU
rnacentral:rRNA from 1 species